AGUAUAUUUAGGCAGGUUAGCCUAGCUAAACAGGAUGACUACAGACAGCUCUGCAGUAUAUUUAGGCAGGUUAGCCUAGCUAAACAGGAUGACUACAGACAACUCUGCAGCAUACUAAAGCAGGUUAGCCUAGCUAAACAGGAUGACUACAGACAGCACUGCAGUAUAUUUAGGCAGGUUAGCCUAGCUAAACAGGAUGACUACAGACAGCUCUGCAGUAUAUUUAGGCAGGUUAGCCUAGCUAAACAGGAUGACUACAGACAGCUCUGCAGUAUAUUUAGGCAGGUUAGCCUAGCUAAACAGGAUGAAUACAGACAGCUCUGCAGCAUACUAAAGCAGGUUAGCCUAGCUAAACAGGAUGAAUACAGACAGCUCUGCAGCAUACUAAAGCAGGUUAGCCUAGCUAAACAGGAUCACUACAGACAGUACAGUAGGGGGAGAACAUAACAUUAGAUGGCCUGGCUGACUGACUGUUACUGUCUGAGAUGAGAUGAUGACUUUAAGAAAAACAAAAAUGAUAAAGUCAUCAUAUAAAAACAAAGUAAUAUACUCAACUGAAAUAUAUUAAUAUUUAUAGUAAUUUGCUAUUUUUCUAUUCAAUAUGGACAAUUGAAUGUUCACCGUUUUUUACUUUGGAAUUUCCAUUAAAAAGCUCGACAAUCAUUUUAAUGUCAUUAUUUCAUAAUGCAUUUAAAUAUUUACCAAAAAAUUGAAACCGAAAUCAAAAACCGUGAUAAUUUUAUGGGACCCGGAACUGAACCGGCCUCAAAAAGCACUAAUUGCUACCAAUAGGACAUGGGAGCAUAGAUGAUAGUUUUCAGAGUCAUUUGAACCUUUUACUCAACGUUAUUAUAUGAACUUCCACACCUGCUUAGAAACAAUGAAUGUGUGUAUGUACUUUCACUGUUUCCUAUUUUAUGUGAGACGUUAAACUGAUCCGCCAUUUUGGAUCUCUGCUCCACCAUAUUAGUCUCUCUAGGGCCUCCUUAAUGGUACAGCAACCCAAUGUCUCUGUGUGAAACUCCACACAUGUUGGUUCUCUGGACCGCCAUACAGUCAAAAAAAAAUUGCUAUCCAGAGCCUAAAAGGGUUAUUCUGCUUUUCCCAAGAGGAGAACCCUUUGAAGAACCCUUUUUGGUUCCAGGUAGAAGACCCCUUGUUAAUCCAAUUUCUCCGUGUGAAACUCCUCACUGAUCCACCAUUUUGUUUUUCCUUCCCCCCCCCCAGGACUGCAGGGCAUGCCAGGGAAUUACCUGUCAGACGACGGCACUGCGUCCUGCUGGGCACCCUCACAUCAAAACCAGGACCCACCACUUCAAAACCAGGACUCCCUCCCGUAACCAGGAGCCUGCUCAGCUGCACAUGGCCCUCCCUUUGGGCCUCCCAGGUACCACAUUCCUGGACCCCCCUGCUCUGUCCCACCCAGUGAUGAUGAUGCACAGGGGAGGACAUCCUCACCACCAUGGGCCCAGCCACCCUGCCUAUGCCCCCCUGCCAGCCUCAAGUCCCUCAAUGCCCAUCACCCAUCCCAGCAGACCCCUACCCCCCUUCAUCCUGAACCCUGGACUGCCUCGCCCAGUAGACUCUAAGGGAUUCCUCUUUGAAAAAAAAGCGAUUGAGAGACAUUGGGUGUUUUCUCUUACCCGAGACUGAAGAUAACUAAAGAGGCACCUGCUAUGUACUAUGGACUCCUAGAAAAAAAAUAAAAAGAGACUUCUUUCAGAGAACUGUACCUCCUCCAAGUCUCGACUGCGGAUGGAUUUGGACCAAGGAGAAGCCAAUGUCUGUAUAACACAGAGGUGCCCUUACAAAUAGGAUUCCAGAAGAGAUGAGAAUGAGGAGAAAGAAAGACAGACAGAGAUUGAAAGGCAAACUAUAUCAACUCCUAAAGGGGAGGGAAGAGGAGAGAGGGGAGAUUCUGUAUACUGUUGUACAAUUACGCUGGACUCUCAAGGAGAACUGGGAAUUGAAGUAUUGUAAAUGCUAUGGUAUUGUUCUGCAUAAUAUGUUGUUUCUAAUCGUUUUUUGGGAAAAAAAGGAUGUGAACUUCUUGGUUUUUUUUUUGUUUCUUUCCACACUAUGUGUGUGCUGUCUCUAUGACUUCUGACCUCUGACCUCCUCCCUAUUAAAAUCACCAUGAGUUUAAAAAGAAAAAAAUAUAUGUGAAUAAACCAAUAAUUCGAUCAACCAAUCUUCUUCCAGGCCUUUCUUUUGGAUGGGUGAAAGAUAUCCUGAGUGUCAGUCUAUUUGUGUUAUCAUACCAACUCCCUGUCACCCAUUGUCAUGCACAAACAGAUCUGGGACCAGGCUAGAGGUGAAAGAGUGGCUCACAGCUUGUGACAGACAGACAGACAGACAGACAGACAGACAGACAGACAGACAGACAGACAGACAGACAGACAGACAGACAGACAGACAGACAGACAGACAGACAGACAGACAGACAGACAGACAGACAGACAGACAGACAGACAGACAGACAGACAGACAGACAGACAGACAGACUGUAUAAAGCAUUGGACAUCUCGGUAUGAUUGAGGAGUUCUGAGCCUGUUCCAGAAUUACAUUCAUGUACUCAAUUGUAUUUAUGUCAUGGGGCUGGAGUCUGCAUUGUCCGAUGCAUUCUCCCCCCACCCCACUAUGUCUAGUUCUGGGGUCAAGUUUCCCCUAGGAUCAGCUUCGCAUUCCCCAAUCCUAAACUUAACCAUUAGUGUGUAAAAUGCUAAACUGACCCAAGAUCAGCGUCUAGGGGCACGGGGAAGUUUAUUAGAGAUAUUGCAUACAUUCACUUUGAUGGGAGGGAAUGUAGAAACCCUGUGUGUGCGUGUGCUCGUGUGUGCGUGUGUGUGUGUGUGUGUGUGUGUGUGUGUGUGUGUGUGUGUGUGUGUGUGUGUGUGUGUGUGUGUGUGUGUGUGUGUGUGUGUGUGUGUGUGUGUGUGUGUGUGUGUGUGUAUUUGAUCAAUGCAUCCGUCAUUCAUUGUAUUAUGUCAAGUCAAUGUUGUUGUAUUUUAAUUUUUUAUGUUUUCAUCCUGGAGAGUGUAUGUAAGUAAACAUUGUAAAUAAAUACAUUUUAUGCAACAAAAAAACAUGGAAAAACCAUAACAGUAAGAUUCCUUUGUAGACCAUUAUAUUCAAUUGUAUACGGAACGUUUAGCCUUUUAACAGAUAAUGAGCAUUACAUGCACAACUUCCGUUUUCCUUUUCCGGUUGUAGGUUUGACUGUCAUAGAAUAACGCUCAAACGGAAGUUAGGAUGCAUGGAUAAGUAGGGCGGGGGCUCUAUAGGAAAAAUGGAGUGUACGUCAUUAUCCAAAACAAUGUAAUUGUAUAAUGAGAUUGAUGCCUAUUGAUAAAGUGGAUGGAAGUCAACCAACUCCUAUAGACUAAGAGUACUAGAGCUGAGGAGUCAACAACUGAGGGUCACCUUGGCAGCGGAUAUCACACCAGGCAGCAAGGGCAGGAGAGAGAGAGAAGCUCCUCGGAUAUCAGGCGAGGGAAGCGAGGGCCAGAUCGGCUCCUCCAUUCACCUGGUGAGACCGGAUCCAAUAAUAGACGAAGACUGGGUUUGCCUUUAACGAGAGGCCCCCGUCGACCCCCACCUGCUCCCGGGGAUAAUACCGACCGACAGACAGGCCCCCGUCCAUGAAUGCCAAAACGCACUCAGCAUCAUCUUCUAGCUCUUCUUUCAUUUCUUCCGGGUUAUGAAGUAUUACGUUUCUCUUCAGUACAAUACGCACUUAUGUUCACUCUCCACUUUGAUCCUCGCGCGCCUGGACAAAGCACCUGACAGUGAACUAUGAUGCAACUAUAGUGAGACCAAAAUGGUUCCUUAUUCCCUACACAGUGCGCUACUUUGUACCAGAGUGUGCUAUGUAGCUCUGGUCAUAAGUAAUGGAUUAUAUAGGGAAUAGGGUGCAAUGUGGAACGCAGAAAGGGAAACCAAGCCUGUGCCGUAGAGAGUACAGUGUGGUCUACAGUGCCGCUCGCACGCACGCACUCACGCACGCACACACACACACACACACACACACACACACACACACACACACACACACACACACACACACACACACACACACACACACACACACACACACACACACACACACACACACACACACACACACACACUGGCUUUCAGACUCCCUGCCAAGGUAUGAGAUUGCAAAGAGAUUAGGAGCGGUAGAAGUCUCACGUUAAGACUCAGUAAAAUUAUAGAGAGACCAUUGUUUGUAGUGGGGUGGAUGGGAGACCGGGUUAGGCUAUGGAUAAAAAAAACUGUCCACAUUAGUCUAACUAAACCAGUCAUCUUCAAGGUCGUACUAGAAAGACCUUGAGCAUCUUAUUUUUGACCCAAAGAGCUUGCCAUGAAGCUAUUAUAAUGGAUUCAAAGGUUUUGCAGUACACUUUAAUGGUGAUUUUCUUUUAUUACAUCAUAGGCCAUAUUAUUAUGUUUAUGAUUAUUAUUAGCCAAUUAUUAUUAUGAUGAUGAUUAUCAUUGUAGGCUUUUGGCAUUACUAUUAACAUAAGCAUUAUUAAACAUAUUCUAAUCACAUCUUUCACCAAGUAUUAUUCUGUAUUAAAAUAAAAUAUUAUUAUUAUUAUUAUUAGUAGUAGUAGUAUUGUUAAAAAUAUGAAUAGUUACUAAUAUUGUUGUUAUCAUAUUGUCAGACCGUUAAUUCCGUAUAUCUAAUAGCAAAACAUAAGCUCUCACUCAGAUUGAGGGGAAUUCGAGACCUUCAAAGUUGUUUGUGUGAAUUUUUUGUCGGUCUCAGCCAGCUGGAAAACAUAUACUCUCUGUCAAAGCUUUAAACGCAGUGCUUGAUUUACUGACGCCUUCCUUCACUACUUAUUAGCUAAUGGAUAACUGCACCGGUAAAGUUAUGCCUUUUAUUAAACUGUAUCCCUCUGUAGGCUUCAAAAAGUUACAGCAGCUCAAUUUUGUUUCACCUUUUUACUGAAGGUUGUAGCAGGUUGUACAGAUUCCAUCCUAGGAGCAGAACUGGCGUAAGUAAACAGCGCAGGAUGUUUUGAGACAGGACAGAGAUGAAUUCCGGCCAUGGUACAAUAGUGGUAAAGCUCAGGCCUGAAGACACGUCUUUCUAGUCGUUUAUUCAUUAAUUAACGUGCCCAAAAUAUGUAUAAUUCCUGACUUUUACAUCUGCAGUUUUGUCAUUGGAUGUAAAAUAGUGUUGUUAGGGGGAAAGUCUUGUUUAAUUGAACACAGUCAUCUGAGCACCAUGAUUCAUUGAGAAUUAGUCCUACACUCAUGUGGCUAUUUUCAAGCUGUAUGGGAAUCCAACGUUUGUAAUAUCGUUGUGUAUGACUUAACAUACCAGCACAUAACGUGCUCAGUACAACUGUCGGUCCAUGCUUAAAUGUGCCACCAAAGGCGCCACUUGACGUAUAAUGGGCUAGAUUAGCGUAAAAUAGCGAGUUAGAGAGGUCAAUCUGUGUUUUCCCAUCUUUAUCAGGGGUUAAUAUGGAUUCACAUCCUUCACACAUUCUUCUAAUGCCUCGGCUUCAGUGCGCGUGGACAGAUUGAUCUAAUAUCCAGGCAAGCACAUCCAUUGCUGCAUAUUUGUCAAGUCUCCAAAAAGCGGAUAUUUUGUGUGGCCUAAAGAUACGUAUCUAUGUCUUCGAGUCUUGACAUGUUAAACCUAAAAAUACUCUUUAGCAAUGUGUCUCAAAGGAAAAUGGAGUAACUGUUUGUUAAUGUGUUGUGUUUAAAAAGAAUAAUGGAUAAAACCACUACUAACACUCACGCAUCUCACCCUGUACAGCGGCAUAAUUCAUCAGUCGCACGUCAGCGAUGGGUUAAGAAAAUGUCAGCGAGAAGCGCUCUCACCUUGUCAUUCUGCGGCGCCGCGAGGAUACGCUUCCACCUUCACGCCCUGCGUGUUUAUCACACAGCAAGACACCAGCUGCGUCUGAAAUGGCACCCUAAUCACUAUAUUGUACAUUACUUUUGACCAAGGCUGAUAGGGUUCUGGUCAAAAGUAUGACACUAUAUAUGGUAGGCAAUAGGGCGCCAUUUCUGACAGAUUCCUCCUUAGCUAUUGUUAGUUAUUUGCCUGCUGUUCUACAGAGCCCCAGAAUCAUGUCAUGGAUGGAUGCAGUUAUUGUCCAAUCAGAACCAUUUCAGGGAGACUGUCUGACUGCUUGAUGUAUUUAUUGUCUACACUCUGGCUCACCAUCGUUUGUAAAGUGUUUUUCAGUCAUUUGAUGAAAUAAAUGUAG